rnacentral:misc_RNA from 1 species
UUUUUUUUUUUUUUUGGGUUUGAACGCUGGGCGAGGAAUGUUAGAGAGGAAGACGGAGAUCGCAGUCGGCGGCGAUUGCCCGUGGAAGAGCAAGUGACUUUAUGCAAGGGCUUGGGCCGGGUACAAGGUAGAUGGCUUUGAGCCCAAAUAGAUGUAUCUAAUUGGGAAGGCAUAUGCAUUAGAACUUGGAAGUUAUGGAUUAGGAAAUGUUGAUUGUGUUGUUCUUGAUUUACGUGAGAAGAUAACGAGCAACGACUUGUAGCUAUGGAGAUGAGUAAGGCCUUCUCCUUCUUAAGAUCUCUGGCUGCUCGCCUUUGGAGAAAAGUAAGUACAUGCUUUAUAAAUGCUGCAUCAAAUGGCAAUGUAAGAGGCCACUUCUUUGCAGUCCAAACUCAUCUUCUGCCAAAUUAAAAAGCUCUCAACAAAGGAAGAAUAAAUCUUCUCCCAUUAGCACUGUAAAAAACGAAAUGACCCUUUUCGCUGCUUCUUGGUAAUGAGAUUCUUUUUCUCCUUAGAGCAGUUUGUUUUCGCCAUUUCUUGCAAUUUCGAUAAACUUGAUCAUGCAUGUUGUUGUUCUUCUUGUAUACUCUUUGAGGGGGAUUAUAUAAUGAACUUGAUCUUUAGACACUAAGAUGAGAACAUGCUGGAUUUAGGCAGUAGAAAUUUGUGGGUAUAUAUAUAUUCACAAGGGCAUAGACAAGUCCCUUGAAUGUGGCUUUCAAUUUGCAGAAGCAAAACCAUGUGAUAAGACUAGUUUUGGUUGUUGGCAUGUCAAGCUUAUGUUUGUUUUAUAUAUAUGUAAGCACAGUUUUAAAUCCAAAAAACAAGUCUAAUGAAUAACAUUGUGCAUUCCCUGCUUGAGCUUGCCAGAUUGGUUAUGAAUGUUCUGAUUUUAUAUGCAAAAAGUAGCAUAUGCAUUUAAUUGUAGGAUGUGAACAACUAAAGAAAAAUCACAUGACUAGAAUCUUUGAAAUAUUUCUCAUAGAUAAAUAUAUAUUUGUACACUUCUGUGGAUCAAUUAUAGAACCAAAACAAAAUCAUAUGUUUUAGAAGCUGCAGAUUGGUAACUGUUGGCUUGUAACAGCUUGAAGAGAAUGUAAAGAUGAUGAGCAGCCAAUGCUAGCCAUGGAUAUCAACAAUGCUUUCUCUACAUCUUUAGU